ACUCAAAUGAAUAGACGGGGACCCACACAAACGGUGGAGCAUGUGGUUUAAUUCGAUAAAACGCGAAAAACCUUACCAGUUUUUGAAUAAUAGAGUUUUUUAAUUUAACAAUUAAAAAAAUAAAAAUCUAUUACAAGUGUUGCAUGGCUGUCGUAAGCUCGUGUCGUGAGAUGUUUGGUUAGGUCCUGUAACGAGCGCAACCCUUAUAUUUAGUUAUUUUAUAUCUAAAUAAACUGCCUAUUAUAAGUAGGAGGAAGGUGAGGAUGACGUCAAGCCUUCAUGACCUUUAUAAGCUGGGCUACACACGUGCUACAAUGGUAAAAACAAAGGGAUGCAAUUAUGUGAAUAGGAGCAAAUCCUUAAAUUUUAUCUCAGUUCAGAUUGUUUUCUGCAAUUCGAAAACAUGAAGUUGGAAUCGUUAGUAAUCGCAAAUCAGCACGUUGCGGUGAAUAUGUUCUUGGGUCUUGUACACACCGCCCGU
rnacentral:rRNA from 1 species